rfam:Lentisphaera araneosa HTCC2155 1101329224574, whole genome shotgun sequence.
UGAUUGGAGAGUUUGAUCCUGGCUCAGAAUGAAUGCUGGCGGCAUGGAUUAGGCAUGCAAGUUGAACGAGAAGUUCACUUCGGUGAAUGGAAAGUGGCGAAAGGGUGAGUAACGCGUGAAUAAUCUGCCCCUAAGUUUGGAACAACAGUUGGAAACGACUGCUAAUACCGGAUGUGACUAUCAAGACGCAUGUUUUGAUAUUUAAAGGUUACGCUUAGGGAUGAGUUCGCGUGCCAUUAUGCUAGUUGGUAAGGUAACGGCUUACCAAGGCUAUGACGGCUAGGUGGUCUGAGAGGACGAUCACCCACACUGGGACUGAGACACUGCCCAGACUCCUGCGGGAGGCUGCAGUCGAGAAUCUUCCGCAAUGCGCGAAAGCGUGACGGAGCAAUGCCGCGUGAUCGAAGACGGCCUUCGGGUUGUAAAGAUCUGUCAGGGGGGAAAAACGAUGAUGGUACCCCCAGAGGAAGCCACGGCUAACUACGUGCCAGCAGCCGCGGUAAUACGUAGGUGGCGAGCAUUAUUCGGAAUUACUGGGCGUAAAGGGUCCGCAGGUGGUUUACUAAGUCAGAUGUGAAAUUUCAGUGCUUAACACUGAACCUGCAUUUGAAACUGGUAGACUAGAGUAUGUGAGAGGUAAGCGGAAUUUGUGGUGUAGCGGUGGAAUGCGUAGAUAUCACAAGGAAGACCAAAGGCGAAGGCAGCUUACUGGCACAAUACUGACACUCAUGGACGAAGGCUAAGGUAGCGAAAAGGAUUAGAUACCCUUGUAGUCUUUAGCAGUAAACGUUGUACACUCGAUGUUGGUCUGGUUAGUCGGAUCAGUGUCUAAGCUAACGCGAUAAGUGUACCGCCUGGGAAGUACGGUCGCAAGACUAAAACUCAAAGGAAUUGACGGGGGCCCGCACAAGCGGUGGAGCAUGUGGCUUAAUUCGAGGCAACGCGAAGAACCUUACCCGGGUUUGACAUUGAGCGACGUUCGGUGAAAGUCGAAUUCCCUUCGGGGCGCAAAAACAGGUGCUGCAUGGCUGUCGUCAGCUCGUGCUGUGAAGUGUUCGGUUAAGUCCGGCAACGAGCGCAACCCAUAUCCUUACUUGCUAACAGGUAAUGCUGAGAACCUUAAGGAGACUGCCCGUGUUAAGCGGGAGGAAGGUGUGGACGACGUCAAGUCAGUAUGGCCCUUACACCCGGGGCUGCACACGUGCUACAAUGGCCGGUACAAAGGGCAGCGACAUAGUGAUAUGGAGCGAAUCCCCAAAACCGGUCUCAGUACGGAUUGGAGUCUGCAACUCGACUCCAUGAAGAUGGAAUCGCUAGUAAAUGGGCAUCAGCUACGGCUCAUUGAAUACGUUCCCGGGCCUUGUACACACCGCCCGUCACAUCAUGGGAGCUGAGUUCACCCGAAGUCGUUGCGCCAACCUGCUUGCAGGAGGCAGACGCCGAAGGUGGGCUUAGUGACUGGGAUGAAGUCGUAACAAGGUAGCCGUUGGGGAACCAGCGGCUGGAUCACCUCCUUU